rnacentral:rRNA from 1 species
UUGCUAUUGGGAUUCGAUUUAGCCAUGCUAGUCGCACGAGUUCAGACUCGUGGCGAAUAGCUCAGUAACACGUGGCCAAACUACCCUUCGGACUACAAUACCCUCGGGAAACUGAGGCUAAUAGUAGAUACCACAGUCCACCUGGAAUGAGGACUGUGCCAAACGCUCCGGCGCCGAAGGAUGUGGCUGCGGCCGAUUAGGUAGACGGUGGGGUAACGGCCCACCGUGCCAAUAAUCGGUACGGGUCAUGAGAGUGAGAACCCGGAGACGGAAUCUGAGACAAGAUUCCGGGCCCUACGGGGCGCAGCAGGCGCGAAACCUUUACACUGCACGACAGUGCGAUAAGGGAAUCCCAAGUGCGUAGGCAUAGAGCCUACGCUUUUGUCCACCGUAGGGAGGUGGACGAAUAAGGGCUGGGCAAGACCGGUGCCAGCCGCCGCGGUAAUACCGGCAGCCCGAGUGAUGGCCGAUCUUAUUGGGCCUAAAGCGUCCGUAGCUGGCCGCACAAGUCUAUCGGAAAAUCCACCCGCUCAACGGGUGGGCGUCCGGUAGAAACUGUGUGGCUUGGGACCGGAAGGCGCGACGGGUACGUCCGGGGUAGGAGUGAAAUCCCGUAAUCCUGGACGGACCGCCGAUGGCGAAAGCACGUCCGAAGACNGAUCCGACAGUGAGGGACGAAACUAGGGUCUCGAACCGGAUUAAAUACCCGGGUAGUCCUAGCCGUAAACAAUGCCUGCUAGG